rnacentral:rRNA from 1 species
GUGCCAGCCGCCGCGGUAAUACCGGCAGCCCGAGUGAUGGCCGAUCUUAUUGGGCCUAAAGCGUCCGUAGCUGGCUGCGCAAGUCCGUCGGGAAAUCCACUCGCUCAACGAGUGGCCGUCCGGUGGAAACUCCACACCUUGGGACCGGAAGGCUCGAAGGGUACGGCCGGGGUAGGAGUGAAAUCCUGUAAUCCCGUCCGGACCACCGAUGGCGAAAGCACUUCGAGAAAACGGAUCCGACAGUGAGGGACGAAAGCUAAGAUCGCGAACCGGAUUAGAUACCCUGGUGUCC